GACGAACGCUGGCGGCGUGCUUAACACAUGCAAGUCGAGCGAUGAAGCACCUUCGGGUGUGAAUUAGCGGCGAACGGGUGAGGAACACGUGAGAAAUCUGCCUUCAACACUGGGAUAACUCCGGGAAACCGGGGCUAAUACCGGAUAUGAAACCUGCGGGCAUCCGCGGGUUUGGAAAGUUUUUCGGUUGAAGAUGAUCUCGCGGCCUAUCAGCUUGUUGGUGAGGUAAUGGCUCACCAAGGCGACGACGGGUAGCCGGCCUGAGAGGGCGACCGGCCACACUGGGACUGCAACACGGCCCAGACUCCGACGGGAGGCAGCAGUGGGGAAUAUUGGGCAAUGGAGGAAACUCUGACUCAGCGACGCCGCGUGCGGGAUGAAGGCCUUCGGGUUGUAAACCGCUUUCAGCAGGGAAGAAGCGAAAGUGACGGUACCUGCAGAAGAAGCACCGGCUAACUAUGUGCCAGCCGCCGCAGUAA
rnacentral:rRNA from 1 species